ACCGGCGGCUCGAGUGGUGGCCACUAUUACUGGGCUUAAAGCGUUCGUAGCUGGCUUGUUAAGUCUCUGGGGAAAUCUUCCGGCUCAACCGGAAGGCGUCUCAGGGAUACUGGCAGGCUAGGGACCGGAAGAGGUGAGAGGUACUCCAGGGGUAGGAGUGAAAACCUGUAAUCCUUGAGGGACCAACUGAGGCGAAGGCGUCUCACCAGGACGGCUCCGACAGUGAGGAACGAAAGUUGGGGGAACAAGGCG
rnacentral:rRNA from 1 species